rnacentral:sRNA from 1 species
GUUUGCACUUGUCGGGGAAGGGUGAGAACCUUCGAUUAAGGUUCGACUCGAGCGAAAGAACGUUGCCAACGGUAACGGCCCGU